CCCACAGUGCUCCAUUCUUUCUUUCAGAGUCUCUGGGAGUUUGUUGCUGCUUCUGUUGGUUGAAAAUUGCAAGCUGAAUUUUUGUUCGUCUAUUAUAGGAAUAGUUAAUAGAACUACACAUUUAUGCUUUAUUACUGAGUUACAUAAGAAGAUCAAUACAACAAGUCUGUACGGUAUACCAUCCAUUUUCAACACAGAGCCGUCUCCUUUGAAGUCUGUUUACCGUGCUGAAGCCUUGCUGAGAACACUGGGAUGGCAAUCUGUGACACCAUUGACACCUGGCAUGUAAACAUUGACAAUAACUCAGUCAUAAAACCUCCUGCAGGUUUGCCCUUUCUUACCUUCAUAGGCUUUGGCUGCAGACACAAUGCCCCCUCUGUUCACAGCGACCCCCUUUUUUCUCUCUCAACUUUCACUGCCUUUAUUUUUACUUCUGGAUCCAGACUCAUAAAAGUGUGUAGCCUA